rnacentral:rRNA from 1 species
UAGGGAAUCUUCCGCAAUGGGCGAAAGCCUGACGGAGCAACGCCGCGUGAGUGAUGAAGGUCUUCGGAUCGUAAAACUCUGUUAUUAGGGAAGAACAAAUGUGUAAGUAACUAUGCACGUCUUGACGGUACCUAAUCAGAAAGCCACGGCUAACUACGUGCCAGCAGCCGCGGUAAUACGUAGGUGGCAAGCGUUAUCCGGAAUUAUUGGGCGUAAAGCGCGCGUAGGCGGUUUUUUAAGUCUGAUGUGAAAGCCCACGGCUCAACCGUGGAGGGUCAUUGGAAACGGGAAAACUGGAGUGCAGAAGAGGAAAGUGGAAUUCCAUGUGUAGCGGUGAAAUGCGCAGAGAUAUGGAGGAACACCAGUGGCGAAGGCGACUUUCUGGUCUGUAACUGACGCUGAUGUGCGAAAGCGUGGGGAUCAAACAGG